CAACCCACACAACAGCUCAUUCAGUAUUGUGUAGGCCAGAUGAAAGCACAAAGAGAGAAGGGUACAGGUCCUGCCCCAGUUUGGACACUCAAGGCAGUUGCACCUUGGAAAAAGAAGUACACAGAAGCAAGCUUCCAGCUCUUCGCUAUUUUCCUUCCACUGCUUUGCUUGUGAUGGCAUAUAGAGCUGUGCAAAAAUUGCUCUUCUUCUAGAGGAUGGAUAAAGAAAGUGUUGCAGCAUCAACCUAACCAGGCUCCAAAAACCGGUCCCGACGCAGCUGUAGAGGCAAAGGAAGGAUAUAAAUGUCUAGAAGCUGAUUCUUGUUGAAAUCUGCGUGCAGCUCUGAGCAA